AUGCAGCUCUGCUCAUUCGUUAUUUCACUCCAGCGAGAACAGAGCUGAGAGACCGUCGUAGCAGCAAUUAGUUUAUGAAGGAAUUAGCAGUGAGCUAAAUGCAAAGGAGCAACAUGGCGAGGCACAACUAGAAGACGCCCCAGUAUCAUUCAGAUCUGCCGUCUGGGAACAUUUCGGUUUCCCUGUAAACUACAACGGGGAUUGCCAACGAGUGGUGGAUAAAACUACAACAUGUUGGCUCUGUUCAUUGCCGAUAGCCUAUUCGAGUGGCAAUACGAGUAACAUGACUACUCAUUUGCGCCGACAUCACCCCAAAGUGCCAAUCGGUGGGACUAGGCGAAAAAAUGAAACCGCAACCACUUCUCCCCACAGCCUUCAUUCAGGCAACAAUAAUGCAGCUGACUCCGGUAGGGCUAAAGAAAACAACUCAGCUAUAGCAAAAUUCAUAGCGGCAGAUAUGAAUCCCUUCUCUGUGGUAGAGAAAGCGGGGUUCAGAAACAUGUUUAAAGUGGCCGAGCCGCGCUUUACUAUUCCUUACCGUACACAUUUUGCCCAAACAUUAAUACCUGCCUUAUACAAAAAAAACUAAAGAACAACUUGAGAGUGAGUUGUCAGAAACGCGGUCUGUUGCUCUAACAACAUACAGUUGGACGUCUAGAGCUACCUUACUGUAAGGCUCAUUUCAUUACGGCAGAGUGAGAGAUAAAAAGCCAUGUCCUUCAAACACGUCCCAUUGAGAGUAGUCACACCAGUGUAAACUUGGGGGAAGAGCUAAGGGAAGUAGUUGCAGUGGGGAAGUUGGAGAGGGAUAAUGUAACGAUUCCUGUGACCACUGACAACGCUAGAAAUAUUGUAAAUGCAGUUGCACUAGCUGGAUUGGGGCCACAGGAGAUGCUGGAGCUGCCAAACCACAAACGAAUCCAAGAUGUCCCUACUAGAUGGAAUUCAAGCCAUGACAUGGCUGAGAGAUACCUUGAGCAGGAAGUUGCGGUGUAUUCUACACUGACUGAUCAAGCUGUGAGGAAGAAUGUCAAAGAUAUUGUGACUUAGUCUGAAAAUGACAAACAAGCAGAGGAAGUUAUUAAAGUGUGCAAACUUCUCAAAACAGUCACAACACUGAUAUGCACAGAGCAUUCCAUCAGUUUUCAUGGUCCUGCCUAUGAAAACAAUGAUCCUUAAAUCAAUGGUGGCAUCUGAUGAAGAUUAACCCGCAGUAAGGGGUGUCAAGACUGCUAUCAGAGUAACCAGGAGCCUAGAUAUGCUGGUCCCGGUGUCAAAGACUUCUCACACAAGAGCACUGCUUUGGACCCCCGGUUCAAGUCCCUACUGCACCUGGAUGCUGCUGCUCGUCUGAGAGUCUACAAUGAACUCACAGCAGAGAUUGUGACCAAUAUACAACAGGGUCAAGCCACAUAUGCCACAGGAGCCAACCCCUCUCCAGAGAUAUGAUUUCUUUCCUCCAGAAAAGAAGUCUGCCAUGGCUGAGCUUUUUGGGGCGUUGUUCACGACCCAGGAGCAGGGAACCAAGUCAAAGGUCAAGGUCAUAGAGGAGGUGACCUCAUACAGGGAAGUGGACUGUAUUCCCUGGAUGCUGAUCCACUUACAUGGUGGAAGACCAAAGAGUUAAUAUACCCUCAUGUUGCCAUGUUAGCAAGGCACUACCUGGCUGUGCCUGGGACCUCUGUCCCUAGCGAGAGGGUAUUCGCCACAGCGGCUGACAUUGUCACAGCAAGCCGAUCUGUGCUCACUGCAGAUAAUGUGGAUAGACUAAUCUUCUUAAAGAAAAACUUGAAAAUCUGAUAAAUGUUUAUUUUUUUCAAGUAACCAGUCUUAAGUGGUCCUAUUUUGUUUAAGGCACUGCUAUGUGACUUAAUUUUGAUAUAUGCUGCUGGACUAUGCACUCUUGUUGAAAUUCUGUUUUAAUUUACCAUUUUAUUUCUGUUUUAAAUGACUAUUUUAUUUCAUGUUAUAAGGCAGGCACUGCUGUUUUUUGUUGUCCCUUUGUUUCCAUAUGCUCCUGGGAAUUCAAGCUACCCAUGUUUACUAUUAUAAUAAAUGGAAAAAACCGAA